rnacentral:rRNA from 1 species
GAUGAACGCUAGCGGCAGGCCUAAUACAUGCAAGACGAACGGUAAGUUUGAUAGCAAUAUUGAACCUAGAGUGUCGUAAGGGUGCGUAACACGUAUGCAAUCUACCCUCAACAGGAGGAUAGCUCCCCGAAAGGGGAAUUAACACUCCAUAACAUUAUUGAGUGGCAUCAUUUAGUAAUUAAAACUCCGGUGGUUGAGGAUGAGCAUGCGCAUGAUUAGUUAGUUGGCGGGGUAAUGGCCCACCAAGACGAUGAUCAUUAGGGGAACUGAGAGGUUGAUCCCCCACACUGGCACUGAGAUACGGGCCAGACUCCUACGGGAGGCAGCAGUAGGGAAUAUUGGACAAUGGGUGCGAGCCUGAUCCAGCCAUGCCGCGUGCAGGAAGACGGCCUUCUGGGUUGUAAACUGCUUUUUGCCAGGGGAUAAAAAGACCAUGCGUGGUCAAUUGAAGGUACCUGGUGAAUAAGCCACGGCUAACUACGUGCCAGCA